rnacentral:rRNA from 1 species
UGGAAACGACUGUUAAUACCGCAUAAGACCACAGCACCGCAUGGUGCGGGGGUAAAAACUCCGGCGGUAUGAGAUGGACCCGCGUUCGAUUAGCCAGUUGGCGGGGUAACGGCCCACCAAAGCGACGAUCGAUAGCCGAUCUGAGAGGAUGACCGGCCACAUUGGGACUGAGACACGGCCCAAACUCCUACGGGAGGCAGCAGUGGGGAAUAUUGCACAAUGGGGGAAACCCUGAUGCAGCGACGCCGCGUGAGUGAAGAAGUAUUUCGGUAUGUAAAGCUCUAUCAGCAGGGAAGAAAAUGACGGUACCUGAGUAAGAAGCCCCGGCUAACUACGUGCCAGCAGCCGCGGUAAUACGUAGGGGGCAAGCGUUAUCCGGAUUUACUGGGUGUAAAGGGAGCGCAGACGGCUCUGCAAGUCUGAAGUGAAAGCCCGCGGCUUAACCGCGGGACUGCUUUGGAAACUGCAAGGCUUGAGUAUCGGAGGGGCAGGCGGAAUUCCUAGUGUAGCGGUGAAAUGCGUAGAUAUUAGGAAGAACACCGGUGGCGAACGCGGCCUGCUGGACGAAAACUGACGUUGAGGCUCGAAGGCGUGGGGAGCAAACAGGAUUAGAUACCCUGGUAGUCCACGCGGUAAACGAUGAAUACUAGGUGUUGGUGCCCGAAGGGCAUCGGUGCCGUCGCAAACGCAAUAAGUAUUCCACCUGGGGGAGUACGUUUCGCAAGAAUUGAAAACUCAAAGGAAUUUGACCGGA